rnacentral:rRNA from 1 species
GACGAACGCUGGCGGCGUGCCUAAUACAUGCAAGUAGAACGCUGAAGCGAGGAGCUUGCUCUUCUUGGAUGAGUUGCGAACGGGUGAGUAACGCGUAGGUAACCUGCCUUGUAGCGGGGGAUAACUAUUGGAAACGAUAGCUAAUACCGCAUAACAAUGGAUGACACAUGUCAUUUAUUUGAAAGGGGCAAUUGUUCCACUACAAGAUGGACCUGCGUUGUAUUAGCUAGUAGGUGAGGUAAUGGCUCACCUAGGCGACGAUACAUAGCCGACCUGAGAGGGUGAUCGGCCACACUGGGACUGAGACACGGCCCAGACUCCUACGGGAGGCAGCAGUAGGGAAUCUUCGGCAAUGGGGGCAACCCUGACCGAGCAACGCCGCGUGAGUGAAGAAGGGUUUCGGAUCGUAAAGCUCUGUUGUAAGUCAAGAACGGGUGUGAGAGUGGAAAGUUCACACUGUGACGGUAGCUUACCAGAAAGGGACGGCUAACUACGUG